CUCCGCUCUGCCUCCGGCUGCCAGUCGCGAACGCGCCGUUCACGUUAGUUCAACUCCGCGGAAAGCGCGAGCACUGUCAUCGCCGUCACAAACCAACCGUGAAUUUGUUUUAAAACAGUAAAAUUUUUGCUUCCGAAAACAAUACUUAUGCACAAAAUGAAACUUUGAACAGUGCGGCAGUGCUCAAAAAACUCACGACACGAGUGAAAUGAGACGUUGAUCAACAGCGAUAAUGUCCAGUUAUUUUUAUUUUAUAAAAUUCACCGUUGUUGGUGGACUUUGCCAGUGAAUACGUUUACCUAUUUGGAAUUAAAGCACAGUAACGGCGAUGUAUGCAACGUCAACUGCGUCUACGACGUCGGGUUCGGGUGUAGCAGGGGCGGCGGGGGCAGUAGAACGUCGAAUCCGCGUGGUGCGGUUGCUGCGCCCACGCCGUUCAGCGCCAGCCUUCGGUUUCUCCUUACGGGGAGGCAGAGAAUACGCCACAGGAUUCUUUAUCUCGAAGGUCGACUUCAACUCAGAGGCACAUCUUCAGGGAUUGAAGGUUGGCGACCAGUUAGUGAGUGUGAAUGGAUACCGCGUAGAUGACGCAGUGCACUCUGAACUCGUCCACUACCUCGGUUCACAGUCUCGACUCAAGAUCAAAGUUAGACAUGUCGGGAUGCUCCCAGUGAAAGACAAAACGCACGAGUCGCUGUCAUGGCACUUCGUGUCAGAGCGAGGUUCCAUUGGCUCGGAUGUGUCAUCAUCACCCACCCUGUGCCAUGACACGGAGAGGUUGACUGAUUUACGACUUUCGAUUCUGGUGCCACCAAGAGCCAAACUUGGAUGUGGAAUUUGCAAAGGUCCAGAAUGGAAAUCUGGUAUUUUUGUUCAAUUUGUCCGUGAAGGCGGUAUAGCUCGAGAGGCAGGUUUGCGGCCUGGAGACCAAAUCCUGUCCUGCAACGGUCAGGACUUCGCCAAUGUGUCUUUCAACGAGGCCAUAUCAGCAAUGAAGGUGAGCGGUCGUUUAGAGCUCAUAAUUCGAGAAGGUGCAGGAUUAGAGUUGGUAUCCCCGGAAAGUUCGGGGUAUAACAGUUCUGCAUCGUCGGCAGCAGGGGAGAGGAGUCCCGCACCUUCCGCACCUCUGGCUCCAUUGGCCCCUCCAGCCGCCUUACGUCGACGACUAGCAAGUGUUGCUGAAGAGGCUGCGGAUCGUGCAGAUAGACUUACUAUAAAUAGGCUGAAAAGAAGGACGUGGGAUAGCCUAGAUUUUGAUUGGAAAACUGGCGACAUCCAUAACUUUGACACGCCGUCAGACAUCGAACCCGACUACGACUGCCCCAGUAUUCCAAAUAACCCACACAACUAUGAAAAUAAACACAACAUAAAGAAUAUGAAUAAAAACAAGGAAUUUAUCAGUACUCCAUCGAAUAGAACUAUUAUAAAUUUGACUGAAGACGGUGCCACCAUACAAUGUAGUUACGAUAAUCAGUCUCCUAGAAAAACGUUUUCAGGUAAACAGAUGAAUAGAGUAAAUGAUAAGAAGUCUAUAGUAGUAGAAGUACACCAUACAAGUAGCACGACGUGUGCGAAAGCUCAUUGCAACUUCCCAUCGCCUGCCAAAAAAGACUCCAGUCCCGACACCUCAAGUAUAUCUAGCUCAAAUACAUUAUCAAGUGCCAUUGCUGAAGAGAUACAGAGACGUAAAUUGAAUAAGAAAAAUUCGAAUCCCGAGGGUAAUAACGUGAAUCAAGUGAAGAAACCAAGUGUGCCAAAGCCAGUAGAUGAGAAGAAGAAACAGCACGACGCCCUCAUGGACGAGUUUAAGAAAGUCCACCGUAAGAUGUUUGCCAACCACGACGUUCAGAACGAAGAUUCGUCAGUGACUGAAAAUGGAGUUGGUAAUAAUUUGGAUCGCCAGCAGACAUUACCGUUGAGGAAGGUAGAACAUGCUUCGUCCGAGUUGGUCAAUGGUCAUUCACAAGUAAAACGGGAUAAUGCAGAUAAUCCCCCACCUCCGCCACCGAUGCCAACUACGAAUGGCACCCAAAACGGAUAUCACAAGCAAGAAGACCAUAAACCUAUGGCAAAAAAGACUAAUUCAGAUCUUAUUCUGAAUUCAAGUGUUAGGAAAAACGAUAAUCUGAUGCGAACUCCGACUCCAGACUAUAACUCGAAAAUGGAAAACGGAGUACCAAACAAAAUAAAAAAUGGUAAAGAAGAAAAUGCUGAGCUGGACUCGCUGGAAUCAUUUACUUUAAAGAAUCCUUCGACCGCCCCGCCUAAACCACCUUCGAACUAUUUUGUGAAGGCGCCCAACGGUACGGCGACUAUGAAAAAACACGGGCGGCCGGUGUCUGUGACAAUAGGCGAGUACGCUGGCGGAGGUGGCUCACGAAGAGAACCCUCUAAACUCGAUUUCCUAAAUGGAGAUAAGCCUGAUUCGCAGCAUACCCCUGAAGAAUCUUCAAUAUCAAACCGACUGCAGUCAGAAUUAGUACAGACCUUGUCUAGGUCCAAUUUACGGAAAAAAACAGAAGCUUUGGAUCUAGCUACUAAAGCAUCGUUAGUAAAGGAAUUAUUUAAAAAUGAAGAUAGUGAUACAUCUUUAGAUAAAAAUUUUCAUGCCAGAUACGGCAACAAUCUUUUGCCACUGCCGCCAUCGAUAUCCAUACCGAAAAUUUCAAAAGUAAAACAUUGAAUACAAAAUCUUUAAUUUCAUAUUGGCCAUGCUAGUAUUUCAAACGCCUGAUUGACAAAUUACUGAUUCUGGUCCAUAGUCGGAAGAAGAUCGUAUUAAAUAGACGUCACACCCGGAAGCCCGUCUGCUAAUCUAUUGCCUAAAUUAGUAAAUGGAAAUUUACACCAAAGUUAGAUACUAAAUUAUGAGUAUACUGGGAUUUAACUUAUUUUUACUAGUGCCACGGCUCAAUAUAUUUAGUUAUAAUUUAUAUUCAAUUUUUCCUCUUCUUCAAGAGACAUAUAAAAUUAUUUUUUUUAAUAUUUAAAAGCGUAAAAUUUAUUCAUGCAAAUGUAAUUAUUAUCAAUUGUUAGGUGUGUAAUACAUAUAUAUUAGGUAUUUAAAAGAAUGUAUUUAAGUUAGUAUUAGUGAGCGCUAAAUAUUUUAUUAUUAUGAACUGCCUAAGUCAUGUAGUUAUUAAAGAUAAAG